CUACGGGACGCACCAGUGGGGAAUAUUGGACAAUGGGGGAAACCCUGAUCCAGCAAUGCCGCGUGUGUGAAGAAGGCCUGCGGGUUGUAAAGCACUUUCGGUUGGGAGGACUGCUUCUAGCACUAAUAUUGUUGGAAGUUGACGUUACCUUCAGAAGAAGCACCGGCUAACUCCGUGCCAGCAGCCGCGGUAAUACGGAGGGUGCAAGCGUUAAUCGGAAUUACUGGGCGUAAAGCGCGCGUAGGCGGCUAGAUCAGUCGGGUGUGAAAGCCCCGGGCGUAACCUGGGAACUGCAUCCGAUACUGGCUAGCUUGAGUACAGGAGAGGAGAGUGGAAUUCCACAUGUAGCGGUGAAAUGCGUAGAUAUGUGGAGGAACACCAAUGGCGAAGGCAGCUCUCUGGCCUGAUACUGACGCUGAGGUGCGAAAGCGCGGGGAGCAAACAGGAUUAGAUACCCCAGUAGUC
rnacentral:rRNA from 1 species